rnacentral:rRNA from 1 species
CCGGUUUAAAAACUCGACGAGGACGAUGGGUUUCGCCCAACGUCCCUCGACACGCCUUGGGGUGCGCUCGGGCGCCUUGAGCGCCCGAGCGUCCCAACGGCGGAACAAACGAACCCCAGCGCGGAAAGCGCCAAGGAACUCGAACAAGAGAGCGAAGCUCCCCUCGCCCCGGGCACGGUGCGCGGGCGGGACGCCAAGCGAUCUCCUAUUAUCAUAACGACUCUCGGCAACGGAUAUCUCGGCUCUCGCAUCGAUGAAGAACGUAGCGAACUGCGAUACUUGGUGUGAAUUGCAGAAUCCCGUGAACCAUCGAGUCUUUGAACGCAAGUUGCGCCCGAAGCCGUUUGGCCGAGGGCACGCUUGCCUGGGUGUCACACAUGGCGUUGCCCCAACCCCCUCGCCUCGAGGAAACUCGGGCGUGCGGGUGUUGGGAGCGUAGGUUGGCCUCCCGCGACGGUCUCGUCCCGGUUGGUCUAAAAUUGAGCGUCGGAGCGAUCAGCACCACGACAUUCGGUGGUUGACUAGUCUCCACUAAUCAGAUGUCGCGUGUGCCCGCUCGU